AUCACAAGCCCGACGCCCUUGAUCUAAGCCCUCACAGGGACAACUGUUUGUCAAAUGCCUCGGAAGAAGAUCUUUCUGUUCCCAAGUUUUCUGCCCAAGGAUGAGGUGCCAGAAUUUAUACGGGCAGAUCUCGCUGAGCAACAAGAGGCCCGUGAGCGCCAGUUCCUUCGUGGCCGAUUUCCUCCCAUCAGGACAAGUGACCUUGACCUGCUGGCAGAAGAAAGGAAUUCAGUGGGGACUGCGAGUGUGCUGCCGCCUAUUGGGAAGAGCCAGGCACCGAGGCGCCUGGAGAUGAAAGAAAGGGAGGGAGUAGUCAGGCUCCCUCCUCUGCAGGGCCAGCAUGGAACACAACUGGCAAAGCAGGGAUCCGCAGAGCCCCGAGUGCAGCAGCGCUUCCCCCCGCUGAGGAGCACCACGCAGGAGAGGGAGAAACCAUGUGCUCUGAAAGAGAAAGUCUCCUGCAAGAAGGCUAGCAAGGAGAUUACUUGCCAGCCUCCUUGA
rnacentral:lncRNA from 1 species